GGAAGACUUACUGGGGGCCGAUUCAGCGCGUUGAUUGCCGCUGUCAACACUCCCGCCAGGCCACAAGUCAUCUGUUUUGUCACAUGCUGGAGGUUUCUGGUGUGCAGUCAUAAUUCAAGAAUGUAUCUUGUACACAUUCUUUAUUCAAGCAAACCUGGAAUGGAUAAGGGAUGGAUGUGUAAAGGCGUAUACCAAGUGAGACAGCCCAGGUUCUGAAGGAUGGAUCUUGUAUCGAAGGACUAGAAUAUUUAAACUCAUGGGGAUAAGAACGGGUAAGAGUGAUUAGUACAGUAUGCAAUGAGAGGUCAUCCGAGAGCCCUUAUCUAACGACUACAGACUCAGUCGGGGAAAGCAAAAAGCUUCUGGAAGUGCGUAGUGUGUAGACAACUGGAACACCCUCAGAAUGUACUGUUCUUCAACUGUAAACCUAAAAACAAUUAAAGUAAUAACUUUU